CACAGUCCGUGCUCUCUGUCUGAAAUGCACCUCUCUUUCCUAUUUGUAGAGAUUCUACCUACACACCGAGGCAGAACCACAUCUGAAUCACACUUCCCCUAGGAAGUCUUCCCGAUUACUCAGGCUCAUGGAUCUCUCUGAACUAAAUUAAACAUUUCUUGUAAAGUUUCUACUUCUGAAGAGGGGAAUAGGAUGCUUCUCUGCGUCUUGAACAAUGGAACUGAACUAGGAGAGAGCCGGUUCCUCAUCCCGACUCUCUGUUUCUGGAGAAAAGUGGGCACACGAACUUGGCCCUUCUUCCUGUCUCGGGGAAGCCCUGGGGGAAGACGCCCCUGAGCCAGCCUGGAGCCAGGAGCCUGUCUGCAGAAACUGUUGGGCCUGUUCCUCCCACUGAUGUUUACUUGGCCGGGAGGCCCAGCGUGAUGAAACCUGGCCCUGUUGCCGAGCACCUUGGGAGGCCUCACUCCAGGGUCCCUCUGUGCUCAGACAGUGGCCCUUUGUGGAGCAGAGAAGCAGGACUGAAAGUGGAGCUGCCUCCGUUCCCCCCACCCCCGCCCCCAUCCCCGGCAGUCAUGGACCAUCCUGUGCCUGGGUGGCCUCUGUGCAAAUCCGUGGCUGGCAGAGUGAGGUCAGAAAGCUGAAAAGGACAGAGUCACACCUCUGCUAACAGGGGCUGUCCCUUCCUUCUCUCAGUGUGGCAAGCACCUCACUGGGGAAAUGGAUGUUCCAGAAAUUUACAGGGGCAGGUGAACCUUGUAAAGUGCUCACUCUUUGAAGAUCUGGGCAGUUUCCAGCCAAACUUCUGGAGAGCGGCAGGAUCAGCAGCCCCUGUCACUGGGAACCUGACAUAAUGAUAAGAGAAGCAGCUGCGAGGGAUCUUAACAGGUAACUUCAGGCUCCUGCUUUUGAGCAAGCCAGUAGCCCAGAGUCAGCCCUCGCCCUGUCCUAAAUAUCUCCACAAGGGGACUUCUGUGGUGGUCCAGUAGUUAAGACUACACCAUGCAAUGCAGGGGAUGUGGGUUCAAUCCCUGGUCGGGGAAAUAAAAUCCCACAUGCAACUAAAUCCA
rnacentral:lncRNA from 1 species